UGUUAAAUAAGGAAAAAUCCGUGGAUUGCAAAUCCGCCUACGCCGGUUCGAUUCCGACCUCGGCCUCCA
rnacentral:tRNA from 1 species